rnacentral:rRNA from 1 species
AACGAACGCUGGCGGCAGGCUUAACACAUGCAAGUCGAGCGCCCCGCCAGGGGAGCGGCAGCCGGGUGAGUAACGCGUGGGGACGUACCUUUUGGUUCGGAACAACUCCGGGAAACUGGAGCUACUACCGGAUAAGCCCUAACGGGGAAAGAUUUAUCGCCGAAAGAUCGGCCCGCGUCUGAUUAGCUAGUUGGUGAGGUAACGGCUCACCAAGGCGACGAUCAGUAGCUGGUCUGAGAGGAUGAUCAGCCACACUGGGACUGAGACACGGCCCAGACUCCUACGGGAGGCAGCAGUGGGGAAUAUUGGACAAUGGGCGCAAGCCUGAUCCAGCCAUGCCGCGUGAGUGAUGAAGGCCUUAGGGUUGUAAAGCUCUUUUGUCCGGGAAGAUAAUGACUGUACCGGAAGAAUAAGCCCCGGCUAACUUCGUG